CCCUUAGAUGUCCUGGGCCGCACGCGCGCUACACUGAACGGAUCAGCGCGUUUUCCCUUCCCGAGAGGGACGGGUAACCUGCUGAACCCCGUUCGUGGUAGGGAUCGGGGCUUGCAAUUAUUCCCCGUGAACCAGGAAUGCCCAGUAAGUGCAAGUCAUAAGCUUGCGUUGAUUACGUCCCUGCCCUUUGUACACACCGCCCGUCGCUACUACCGGUUGAACGUUUUAGUGAGGUACUCGGACUGAGCCUCAGAAGAUUCACGUCUUUUGUGCUGCUCGGGAAGAUUCCCAAACUUGAGCGUUUAGAGGAAGUAAAAGUCGUAACA
rnacentral:rRNA from 1 species